CUAGACCUGAAAUCAGCCGAGGAUACCCGCUGAAUUUAAGCAUAUUAUUAAGCGGAGGAAAAGAAAAUAACUAUGAUUCCCUUAGUAACGGCGAGUGAA
rnacentral:rRNA from 1 species